UGGAAGUAAAAGUCGUAACAAGGUUUCCGUAGGUGAACCUGCGGAAGGAUCAUUACCGAGUGUAGGGUUCCUAGCGAGCCCAACCUCCCACCCGUGUUUACUGUACCUUAGUUGCUUCGGCGGGCCCGCCAUUCAUGGCCGCCGGGGGCUCUCAGCCCCGGGCCCGCGCCCGCCGGAGACACCACGAACUCUGUCUGAUCUAGUGAAGUCUGAGUUGAUUGUAUCGCAAUCAGUUAAAACUUUCAACAAUGGAUCUCUUGGUUCCGGCAUCGAUGAAGAACGCAGCGAAAUGCGAUAACUAGUGUGAAUUGCAGAAUUCCGUGAAUCAUCGAGUCUUUGAACGCACAUUGCGCCCCCUGGUAUUCCGGGGGGCAUGCCUGUCCGAGCGUCAUUGCUGCCCAUCAAGCACGGCUUGUGUGUUGGGUCGUCGUCCCCUCUCCGGGGGGGACGGGCCCCAAAGGCAGCGGCGGCACCGCGUCCGAUCCUCGAGCGUAUGGGGCUUUGUCACCCGCUCUGUAGGCCCGGCCGGCGCUUGCCGAACGCAAAUCAAUCUUUUCCAGGUUGACCUCGGAUCAGGUAGGGAUACCCGCUGAACUUAAGCAUAUCAAUAAGCGGAGGAA
rnacentral:rRNA from 1 species